GAUGAACGCUAGCUACAGGCUUAACACAUGCAAGUCGAGGGGCAGCGGUAUCGAAAGCUUGCUUUCGGUAGCCGGCGACCGGCGCACGGGUGAGUAACGCGUAUCGAACCUGCCUCAUACUCGGGAAUAGCCUUGCGAAAGUAAGAUUAAUGCCCGGUGUUUUCAGAGUCCCGCAUGAGGCUUUGAACAAAGAUUUAUCGGUAUGAGAUGGCGAUGCGUCCCAUUAGCUUGUUGGCGGGGUAACGGCCCACCAAGGCAUCGAUGGGUAGGGGUUCUGAGAGGAAGGUCCCCGACAUUGGAACUGGGACACGAUCCAAACUCCUACGGGAGGCAGCAGAGAGGAAUAUUGGUGAAUGGGCGGAAGCCCGAACCAGCCAAGUAGCGUGCAGGAAGACGGCCCUCCGGGUUGUAAACUGCUUUUAGUUGGGAAUAAAACGGGGCUCGUGAGCCCCCUUGCAUGUACCAUCAGAAAAAGGACCGGCUAAUUCCGU
rnacentral:rRNA from 1 species